AACGCACCUUGCGCCCCUUGGCAUUCCGAGGGGCACACCCGUUUGAGUGUCGUGAACAUCCUCAACCUGCUUGGUUUUUACCGAACCAAGUAGGCUUGGAAUUUGGAGGUUUUCUGCUGGCCUCCUCUGAAGCCAGCUCCUCUUAAAUCUAUCAGUGGGAUCCGCUUUGCUAGAUCCUCGACGUUGAUAAGAUGUUUCUACGUCUUGGGUUUUGCUCGGGAAGGACCUGCUUCUAACCGUCCCAUCAGGGACAUCGUUCGAGCCGAUCGCCCUUCACGGGGUGGGAAGCUUUUCGACCCAUGAAACCUUGACCUCAAAUCGGGUGAGACUACCCGCUGAACUUAA
rnacentral:misc_RNA from 1 species